CGCCCCUGUACGCGAGUAGCUAGCCGAGUCCUUGCGCUCCCGUAAGAAAGGCGACGCUGCCGGUGCCAGCGUCGUCUGCCGUUGCUCCCGCCGCUCUCCUCCAACAACGGUGGCGGAUCCAGCUAGAUCUGCAGGGGACGUGUCGAGGAGUCAUCAGCCUUCAGCCCUUCACCACUGCCUUGGCCACCGCAGCAGCCUGGGAGUGGUCGCCCUUCCGGCGCGGCUCAUAGAGUCACGGGGCACGGUGGCGGUGCGCGUCUCCUGCGGUGCUCAGCUCCCACACAGACUCACAAAGGUAUAGGAUGUGAAGUGGAAGGAAAAAGAACUUUGAAAUCUCGCAUCUGCGUACGGUUUCCAAUCGGAUUUGGUGUGAUUGACGAUGCUUGAAUGACCUGAGCUCUUGUCAACUCCUGCUUUUGCUUUUGCUUAGUAGGUCGUUUGUAGGACGAUACAAGCAGGCUGAGAAUUCACAAGUUAGCAAAGAAAACUACUGAAGUAAAACUACUAAAGUAAGGCACAGCCUUCUUGUUGUUAUUCAUAUAUGAAACAAGUCCAAAGUCUAGAAAUAAUAAUGAAUGAGUGGUUUGUUACCUUUGCCGCCUCCACCUGGUGAGGAUGAAGGUGGUGGCUACAUAUCAUUGUGAAUUUUGUAUGUUGAAAUCAUGUGAAAUCAGGUGGCCUGUAAGAUUAUAUAGGUCCUCAAAGCAGAUUUGUAUCAAUCUGCAUGCGUGUACCUCAAAGCAGUAACCUGUUUGACCCUCCGAUCCAACCAAAUAGAGCAGCUAAUUAUUUCUGCUACUGUUAAGCAAUUAUAAAUCAUCAUUUGCUAGAAUCUGCUUAGUUUACAUGAAUAUGUACUUAAAUUUUUUAUAUAUCAGCUUACUAUAUAUGCUAAUUGCUGAACUCUGAACAUCUAAUCAUUCAGACAUUGCCAAAAUGCCAAGAUUGGUAUUAUGGUAUAGCUGUUAGCUGUUGUUCUCUUAGCACGUAGAACUAAGAAGUGAGAAUUGCUCAAGUUUGAAUUGGCAGUGCGUUUGCCGAAUGCAUUGUGUUAGUUCCUCAGCUCUUGUCUCAGUCAUAUUUUGAAGGUAAUUUUUAAUUACCUGAGGUUUCCUCAGUUUCUUGUCUCAGUCGUAUCUUUGCAUCUGCACCCACCUAGCAUAAUGAUCUUUAUCUUUGUGCAGCCUAGGAGGAUGUUACGGAAUUCUAAGAAGCUCAAAUGGCUCAAUGAUCCUUAUAUUUGUGCAGCCUAGGAGGAUGUUACGGAAUUCUAAGAAGCUCAAAUUGCUCUUAAAGGUACCCAACUAAUUUUCAAGGGUGGGUGGGGACGGGUACACCUCCAUUAGCAGGCCUAUGGGGCUUGAGGAUAAGGAGGCCACGGAUUGGUCAAGACUUGCGCUAGCAGUGAACAGAAGGGGGCGGCCGUGUCGCCAUCGGCGGAUCGCCGAGAGGGAGAAGGAUGGCUGCCCAUCUGAAGGUGGAAGAAGAAGCUUGUUUGUAAACAACCAGGGGUUUUUUAAUAAUUGCGACCUAAAUAAGGAGCUUUAAAAAAUGGUUAUUCACAUAAACCCCCCACUUUGGAUUGCGAUCAAUAGUCGCGAUCCAAACUAGGGGGCUUAAUGCAAAAUAAUGGUUCGGUGUUACAUAGAACCCCCUACUUUGGAUCGCGGUUAACCAAAUCAGGGUGUAUUUUGCAAAAAUUCCAGACCGGCGAGAUG